rnacentral:tRNA from 1 species
GCUUCGUUAGCUUAGUGGUAUAGUACCAUCCUAAAAAAAUGGAGGCGCGGGUUCGAUUCCUGUGCGAAGCG